rnacentral:rRNA from 1 species
UACGGAGGGUGCGAGCGUUGUCCGGAAUCACUGGGCGUAAAGGGCGCGUAGGUGGCCCGUUAAGUGGCUGGUGAAAUCCCGCGGCUCAACUGCGGGGCUGCCGGUCAUACUGGCGAGCUAGAGCACGGUAGGGGCAGAUGGAAUUCCCGGUGUAUCGGUGGAAUGCGUAGAGAUCGGGAAGAAUACCAGUGGCGAAGGCGUUCUGCUGGGCCGUUGCUGACACUGAGGCGCGACAGCGUGGGGAGCAAACAGG